rnacentral:rRNA from 1 species
UACGGGGGGAGCAAGCGUUGUUCGGAUUUACUGGGCGUAAAGGGCGCGUAGGCGGCCACCGCAAGUCGACUGUGAAAUCUCCGGGCUUAACCCGGAAAGGUCAGCCGAUACUGCGGGGCUAGAGUGCAGAAGGGGCAACUGGAAUUCUCGGUGUAGCGGUGAAAUGCGUAGAUAUCGGGAGGAACACCGGUGGCGAAGGCGGCGACCUGGGUUGAUACUGACGCUGAGGCGCGAAAGCGUGGGGAGCAAACAGG